GCGUCUUCUCUUCUGUCAACCGAGCCGCGCCGCCCCUGUGUCCGAGCCGUUCGGGUCUCAUUCCGCCUUCGCCGCCUCCGGUCGUGCCGCCUCUUGCCGCCGCCGAGAUCCGCCUUCGCCCGAGUCCGUUUUCUCCCUCCCGCGCCGCCUCGCCGUCGCCGUCCCCGCCGCUUCCGCGACCUCCUGAGUGCCACCACCGCCGCCGCCUAUCCCUCCUUGCUUCACCGCUGUCCCUCCGCUCGCACGCCGCAAAACCACCGCGUCUACCACCAUUUCACCGCCUUUUCCCCACCGAGCCGCGCCGCCUGCAGUUUCCACCAUCCACCACCGCACCCGCCGCUGGAAGACCGCCGCCGGUUCCGUGUCCGAGCGCCCAUCAGCCAAGCUCUUCUCCCGUCGGCCGAUUCCGUCCAUCGCUGAGUACCAUCGACCUCCCUUCCCCCUUCUUGCAUUCAGUCG
rnacentral:lncRNA from 1 species